GCGGGAACGUGACGUCUGACUUCACUGUACCCAACCGAUCAGGGCACGUACCACGAAAAUUCAACAUGGCUGGACGUUAGCGAGGGAUGCAACGGAGUAACAAAAGAGGAAAAAGGAGAAUAUUCAGCGAAAAACCUGCACUACAACGCAUAUUUUUUCGCCGUGCUGUUGUAAAAUUGUGUUAUUAUCUGUGUUUUGUGUUCUGGGAUGCCAACUUCAGGAUUUGAAAGUUUCGCGCGUGAACCGUACUAUAGAGCGUUUGGAUAUGAGCACUUUGUCAUUCUGAGCAACAGUGUUGGAUUUGUGUGACCUCUUCUGCCUCAGUUCAAGGUAGCUAAA